UGCCAGGUGCUCUCCAGCUAGCGUCAACAGGCAAUCAACAGUCGGCGCAAAGCUAGAGCCAGUAGUAGGUCAAGAACAGCUCUGCCUGAUCCAGCUGACUAUGGAUUGUAUUUCAAGACGGAAACGUUUCUCAAAACUGGACUUCCGGUCCAAACAGAAGAUGAUAAGUGACGGAAGACCAACGCCGGAGCUAAAAGGUUAGCUUCAAACUACGGGACAGAAGAGUCGUUCUUUUCAAAUGGAGUGGUACAAACGGAAAGACUGGCUGUGUGGCUGUCCUGUAAGAAGCCGCCUUUACUGCUUUCCUUGCCUUUUGUUCUCAUCGAGUGAUAGCGUCUGGACUAACUCGGGACUGUGACCUGAAACAUUAGCAAAGACGCCUUAGCCAACAUGAAAGAUCAGCCACGCACAUUCAAAGACAGAUUUCCUUAAAAACUUUUGGAAAUUCAUGGACCGAUUUGGCAUUAGCGGAGCAACGGAGACUAAACAUCAGCGUCCACAAUGCUAAGGCACUUAAGGGACCAGAGGAAGACGAACAAGAAUCCUUGAGUGACGUCAGCAAAGAAGAAAGUUUGGUGAACAGCGAGUCAGAGUCGGUCUGUAGAAUGUCUUCUGGAACUUUCUCCUGCACUACACCUCUCAUCAAUGACAUUCCUUGAAAAAACCUUUGAAGAGUCAGUGGGAGCAGCAGCAGCAGAAGAAGAAGAACAACGAGAUGCAGCGUCUCAUUACAUCACAUGACUCCACCAGGCCUCCACCUGUGAUUCUGUAGACUGACUUCAUAUCUUAAAUGGGAUGUCAAGGACACCGGGCGACCUUGACACAGUCCAGCACAUGUGACGAAGACAAGCGCGGAGAAGAAAAUAAAAGCUCUUUCGUGUAGCUAUAACAGCAGAGCACCUCCGGCUGGAUUAUAGGAUUAAAUUUAGGGAUGGGCAGGAGUAGGGUGGAGGGGUGAGUCUCAGUACUGACCAGUGUAGCUUUUAUAAUUACAGCCUGAGAGGUGCUGCUGCUGCUGCUCCAUCAGUGCUGACCGCACAUUUUAAAUCAUAUAUAAUUUCUCAUCUUCAUCUUCUGUAAAGACUGUUCGACAUCAACUUGACUUGAAGUUCAAAUAAGGUCAUUCCCUUUUCCUCUAUGGUGUCAGCUCAGGUUUCAUCGCAGCUCUUUACCUGACAUAUAUAUUUGGUUUGUUUUUAGCGAGAUUACUUUAUGACAUGAAGGAAAGUCGUGUUCUUCAUGCCAUGGGUCGUUAAUACUUAGAGUUUGACCCAAAACGUUGGAGUUCAACUUUGUAAAAGGGUAACCUUAAAACAUUUACAAAUUAAAAAAAAAACUACACAAACAAAAAAGAAACAGCUCAAGUUCUCCUGAACUUUUUUUAAACUUUGCCUGACCUGAAUGUGAUUUCCAGGCAGAAAUGUGAUUUUUUUUAUUAUUAUUAUUAUUAUUUUCGCUGACAUUGAAGAAAUGCUGCUUCAGCCUGAGGACUGUGAUAUUUAACCAGAAAAGAGAGAACGGGGGGGAGAAGAAAGUUCAGGAAACCUGUUUCCUAUUUUCUGUCACUACAGCUUGAAAAGGCAUGUUGUAUGGAUGCGUGAAGUACAGAUUUCGCAUGUCAUGUUGGUCAGAUGGUAAAAGAAUUAGGAUGAAAACGUUUGGAAAAUAAAAAUCAAAAUGUUAUCUAUUCUGCAUGUUUCUAAUAAAAUUAGAGCAUUUUGAGAAUUUUUUUCAAAUUUUCUUUGAUUUUGAUAUUUAUUUAGAAAAUUCUAAUUUCACAUGUGGUGUUGGUCAGACAGUGAAAAAUUGGGAUAAAAAUGUUUGAAAAAAAAUCAAAAGUGUAUCUUUUCUGCAUAUGUUAUAACAAAUUAGAGCAUUUUUCUUUUUUCUUUCAUUUUUUCAGAUUAGAGCAUUUUGAGAAAUAUGUCCAAAUGUAUGGGGUUUUUUUUCUUUAUAUCCUUCAUGUCAUGCGACAUGCAAAAAAUAAAAAGAAAUGCAGGUUUAUACCACAAAACAUGCUGCCAAGUGAAUAUUUUCUGCUAAAAACUCCAAAAACUAUCAUACCUGAACAUGUAACAAUAUCACCAAAAAAGAGCAAGACUAGAAUUCAAGUUUAUGUCGCAAAACAUGCUGCCAAAUGAAUAAUUUGUGCUAAAAACUACAAAAAAUAUUUUAGACUAUAGUCUUAUAAUCACGUAAAGAUGCAAAAAAACAAAAAGUCUUGCUUGUUUUUGGUUGUAUUUUGAAAUAUUCAAAUAAUAUAUUUCUUGGAGUUUUUAGCACAAAUUAUUCACUUGGCAGCAUGUUUUGCGGCAUAAACUUGCAUUCUGAAGCAUUUCUGGGACUUUUAAUUUUUUUGCAGUUUUUUGUACUAGUAAGAUUAUAGUCUAGCUUGUUUAUGGUGAUAUUUUGAAAUAUUCAGAUAAAAUAUUUUUGGAAAUUUUUAUUACAAAUUAUUCACUUGACAGCAUGUUUUGUGGCAUAAACUUGCAUUUUAAGGC